UUAUAAGAGACAGCAGUCGCCGCGGUAAUACGGAGGGUGCAAGCGUUAAUCGGAAUUACUGGGCGUAAAGCGCACGCAGGCGGUCUGUCAAGUCAGAUGUGAAAUCCCCGGGCUUAACCUGGGAACUGCAUUUGAAACUGGCAGGCUAGAGUCUUGUAGAGGGGGGUAGAAUUCCAGGUGUAGCGGUGAAAUGCGUAGAGAUCUGGAGGAAUACCGGUGGCGAAGGCGGCCCCCUGGACAAAGACUGACGCUCAGGUGCGAAAGCGUGGGGAGCAAACAGGAUUAGAUACCCCUGUAGUCCCUGUCUCUUAUAC
rnacentral:rRNA from 1 species